CGGUGGGACGCUGGGCUGGGGCUCCGGGGCGGUGGCGGGUCAGACCCUCGGGCGGGCAGGGUCUGUGGGUUGGCUGGCGGACGCUCGGGGCAAAGACCAAGGUCCUGGCCCUACGGAGGCGGAGACAUUGGGGCUGAGGUGCUGUGGGGAUGUUAGUUAUUCUUAGCCGGGCGUGAUGAGGGCAGGCGGGGGCCAGUGAGGUACUCAGGAAUCCCGAGGCCGGGGUUUUGGUAGUACUAAAGCUCCGUUCCUGACUUCGCUGUGUGACCUGGGGCGGGUGGCUGCCCCUCUCUGAGCCUCAGUUUCUCCAUCCUGACCUUCGAGUUUGACUUGUGUGGAGGUGCACUCCCCAUGACGGAGCCUUCCUUUGGGUGAGGACUGGUGUGUGUACUGGGGCUGCCUGGCUCUCCUGUCGGUCCUCAGCCCCUGUGAGAGAUUGGGCUGUGCGCAGACCCGGAGUCCAGGAGAGCCCUGUCCACCCUGGGCCUGGAGGCCACAAUGAGGUUACAGGUGAAGGGGAUUAGGUUUUUUUUUUCCACCCAGCCCUUGGUGGAUAACGUUGUGCAGCACAAAAGACCAAUUGUUGAGCAGGAGGUUGUCUUCUGGAGAGUGAGAGGCCCAGGGCUGAAAUUUGGGUCAGGCUGGUGCUUUGGGAGGACCUGCAGACCUCUGUUUUCUGUCUAACUCCUAGGUUUUCUGCCCGGGGCUCCCUGGUAUUUUUUUUCUCCUGGGUGUGCCCAUGCAGCUCCUGUUACGUCUGAGCUUUGGCAUGACCACUAGUACCCACUUGUGCCCCUUUUCUCAGCCGUUUGCUAGGGAACUGUCAAGUAGCCGUGUAAGUGUGGGCCGGCGCUCCACUUGCUCUUAAAAGGCUUGGAAACUAUGAGAGGCUGGGGGAAUAGCACGUUGCACAAGUUUGUAAAAUGGGAGGAAACUAAGCGAGCAAAGGACUUCCUCCGUGUUCGUUCUUUUCUUCCGUUGCAGCCUCUGCAAGAUACAGUCGCAGCACACGAUGGUGCUGAUAGUUUGCAUCUCUCAUGGGCUUAGCUCACUUGAAGGGCUGAUCUUGAGGGAGCUGUUGCAUCAGUUUCCAUGACAUUCUGGGCUCUGGUACUGGGACAGGUGAGAGCUUAAGAUUAAGUACAUAUCUUCCCCUUGCCCCUUCGAAAGGGCAGCAUCCAGACAGUUGGCAGAGGACAGGCCCGAUGGCAGCAGAAAGAGGUGGGUUCUGUUUUCUCAGCCAGCACGCCAGAGCCUGUUGGAGCGCUUCAUCUCCUAAGUAGAGGGAGGUCUUCUGUGAGAAGUCGGGGCAGCUCUGAAGCAGUUAUCUGCCGCUGGGUGAUAAAUGCAAAGUGAUCUCAGAAUCUUCUGUGACCUUUCAGAAAUCCGAAACUAGCCACUUGCUGGUUCAGACCGGGAUCUUUGAGCUAAGUUGUGAUGUUGAAGUGAGAUGUAAAGCUUCUGGUCGAGUGGCAGCCUGUUCCAUCUGAUUCUCUUGGCCUCUUCAGACUCCUAGACCUUGCAUGGGUCUCAGACAAGUAGCUGUUAACAGGAGAACCCCCUGAAGACUUUUCUUGCCCUCAGAAAACAGUUUGUUGUGGAAUUCUACAGUGGGAGCCUAGAUCAAGCGAGGUGACCCACAAACGUUCACUUAGAAGGGGUGCUUUGCACAGAGAAGUCCUCGGGGACGGAAGGUUCAGGAAGAGGGAGACAUCAAUAUUUAUUAGCAGAAAGACAGUUUUGGGACAUAGAAGCUCACUGGCUCGCUUGUUUUCUUUGCGGCUUAAAAUCUACUGUAACAAACUUGUAGAUUUUACAGGUGGUGCGUAUGUGAACUAAAGCUCCAAAUGUGAAUGAUGAGGAUUUGAACAAAGUCUUUAUCACCAGACCACAGACAGUUCACAGAAGGCCCAGUGAAGAGAGAGCCUGGAGGAAAAAGUCAUCUCUCCAGUAGCCUGUGACCACUGCAGCCUGUGGCUGAAAAGUCCUUGGGCUCCUUGGUUUUCAAGGU